UUCCGGUUGAUCCUGCCGGAGGUUACUGCUAUCGAGGUUCGACUAAGCCAUGCGAGUCGAAUGUAGCAAUACAUGGCGAACUGCUCAGUAACACGUGGACAACCUGCCCUUAGGUUGGGUAUAGACCCGGGAAACUGGGUAUAAUACCCGAUAGGUCUCGAUUGCUGGAAUGCAUCGAGAUUUAAAGCUCCGGCGCCUAAGGAUGGGUCUGCGGCCUAUCAGGUAGUAGUGGGUGUAGCGUACCUACUAGCCUACGACGGGUACGGGUUGUGAGAGCAAGAGCCCGGAGAUGGAUUCUGAGACACGAAUCCAGGCCCUACGGGGUGCAGCAGGCGCGAAAACUUUACAAUGCUGGCAACAGCGAUAAGGGAACCUCGAGUGCCAGGUUACAAAUCUGGCUGUCGAGAUGCCUAAAAAGCAUUUCAUAGCAAGGGCCGGGCAAGACCGGUGCCAGCCGCCGCGGUAACACCGGCGGCUCGAGUGGUAACCGUUAUUAUUGGGUCUAAAGGGUCUGUAGCCGGCCGGAUAAGUCUCUUGAGAAAUCUGGCAGCUUAACUGUCAGGCUUUCAGGAGAUACUGUCUGGCUCGAGGCCGGGAGAGGUGAGAGGUACUUCAGGGGUAGGGGUGAAAUCUUGUAAUCCUUGAAGGACCACCAGUGGCGAAGGCGUCUCACCAGAACGGACCUGACGGCAAGGGACGAAAGCUAGGGGCACGAACCGGAUUAGAUACCCGGGUAGUCCUAGCCGUAAACGAUACUCGCUAGGUGUCGGCCACGGUGCGACCGUUGUCGGUGCCGUAGGGAAGCCGUGAAGCGAGCCACCUGGGAAGUACGGCCGCAAGGCUGAAACUUAAAGGAAUUGGCGGGGGGAGCACCACAACGGGUGGAGCUUGCGGUUUAAUUGGAUUCAAC
rnacentral:rRNA from 1 species